CUCCUCUCUCUUGGUUCCAUGCCUCGCCGUUUAUCUAUCUAAUUUACUAGCAGUAUUUAUUUUUCUUUCCUGCCCUUGAUAUUAUUUAUUAUCUCUGUUUCUAUUGUCGUUGUUCCCUUCUUCUACUGGUAACAAGGAAUCCAAUCAAUCCCAGUACUGGGAGGGAGGGAGUCUGUCUCAACCUGCAUUUGCUCUGUUCCAAAAUUCUCUCCUUUCUUUGUUCUUUCCUCCGCUGGUCCAUAGCAUCUGAUGAUCCAAUCAUACUCCAAGAUCUGAAGAGAAGGAGGGAUUGGGAAGAAUCGCUCUGCAAUGAGGCCGGAGACGCGGCUUGAUUCAGCGGUGUUCCAGCUCACCCCCACCCGCACAAGGUGUGAUUUAGUUGUGAUAGCAAAUGGACGGAAGGAGAAGAUAGCCUCUGGUUUGCUGAACCCGUUCGUUGCACAUCUCAAGGUUGCCCAACAACAGAUUGCAAAGGGAGGGUACUCCAUCACACUUGAGGUAGACCCAGAGAUUGAUGCACCAUGGUUUACAAGGGGCACCGUGGAGAGGUUUGUCCGUUUCGUCAGUACACCAGAGGUCCUGGAACGAGUAACGACUAUAGAGUCUGAGAUAUUGCAGAUCGAGGAUGCCAUCACUGGCCAGGGCGGUGACAAUCUUGGAUUGAGAUCUGUAGAAGAUUAUAAUGAAAAAUUGGCGGAAUGCAUUGGAGGUAGCAAGACAAAUUACGAUCUUGAUGGGGAUAAAUCACUUAUUCUGUACAAGCCGGGCAUUCAACCACCUCCACCUGUGCAGAAUGAUAAUGCAACUCAGGAGGAGAAUUCAAAAGUUCAAUUACUUAGAGUUCUGGAGACUCGCAAAAUUGUCUUACGUAAGGAGCAGGCUAUGGCCUUUGCGCGUGCUGUAGCGGCUGGGUUUAAUAUUGACAACCUGGGAUUUUUGAUCACAUUCGCAGACCGUUUUGGUGCUUCACGCUUGAUGAAGGCAUGCACACAGUUCACUGAGUUGUGGAGAAGAAAGCAUGAAACUGGCCAAUGGAUUGAAGUUGAACCGGAGGCAAUGUCUGCACGGUCUGAAUUUCCUCCCUUUAAUGCUUCUGGAAUUAUGUUUAUGGGAGACAACAUGAAGCAAAACCUGGAAACGCUUUCUAUUUCGAAUGGAGAUGCAAAUGGUGAAGAUGCUGCUAAAGCUGAUCAGAGGACAGCUCAGCACUCAGGAGCUCCCAGCGAAUACCUCCAUGGUCCAUAUCAAUCAGCAUAUCCACCAUGGGCAAUUCAUCCACCAUAUCCCAUGCAAGGCAUGCCUUACUACCCUGGGGUGAACCCAUACUACCCUCCACCCUACCCCCCAAUGGAUGAUCCUAGGUACCACCACUCAGAGAGGAGAGUAUCAAGGAAGCACUCGUCAGAUAGCAAGGACUCAGAAACAUUGGAUGAUGAAAGUGGCCAGAGUGGUUCAGAGAUAGAGAGCUCUCAUGGCCACAAGUUGCAUAAAAAGGGCAAGCGAUCAGGCAAGAAGAAACCCAGUGUAGUUGUCAUAAGGAACAUCAAUGUGACGUCAAAAAAGCAUGGCUCAUCAGAGAGCGAGUCACAAACGAGUUCUGAUGUAGCAUCUGAGGACAGUGAUGAUUCACACACUGAAUACAGCAAGCGAAAGAAUAAGAGAUCUAGUUCAAAGAAAAAGGAGAGCAGAAAAAUCAUUCUUGAGCCUGGAGAUGAGUAUAGCAGGGAUGAAGUAGCUCACAGGCAAGAUGGAGACCAAGGAAACUGGAAUGUCUUCCAGAGUUUCUUGCUAAGAACUGAAGAGAAGACAAAAGAUAAUGACGCAGACCUAUUUGCUACUGAGAGAGGACCACCGCCAGCAAGAAGGAAAGAAAGCAGAACCACUGAUGAUCCUCUUCUUUUAGUGGAGCGAGAUUCUACCGAUUUCAAUGAAGGGAAGACAAUUGGUUUCAAUUCAGCCCAUGGGAGGAUUAGGUCCAGGAAAAUGCUGUCUGGUGACGAACUUGUGAUCUCGGCUGAAGGUAGGAGUUUUGUGGAUGGCGAUAUUAAGGAGAUAGAAGCUGGAGGUGGAGGAUACAGGAGAGGAGCAAGUGAAGACUUCAUCGUUUAUGGUCAGGAAAAGCCAAUGGACAGUGGGAGUUAUUUGGAUCCUCUUGCAGAGGGACAGUACAAGAGUCCAACCCUGAUGGAAAAGAACAUGCAUAGUGUGGCUGAUGAGUCCUUUAUGAUACCUGUUAGGUCUAACUCACAGGAUAAUCUUGGACCAGAAAGCUGUACCGCCAUUGAUAUAGAUGUUGAGCUUCCUGGAACUGUUAAGAAGACAACAGAUGCAAAGGCUGGAGACCAACUUUUCUAUGAGCCCGAUGAGUUGAUGCCAGAGCGUGAAUAUGAAGAUGUCACAUAUGGAUAUGAUCCAGCAAUGGACUAUGAUAGCCAGAUGCAGAUUCAACCUGCCAUCAUGGUUGAAGAUGCAAAUGCGGAUGAUGUAUCACUGGGGGUUGAGGGUGAAGUAAAGAAGCUAGAGAAAGAUAAGAAGCUUAGAUUACAGGAAUGUUUGGAUAAAAAGAAGGAUGCUUCGGCCAGGAGAUUGCCAUCGUCAAAAACCCGGCUAACAGAUGCACAGAAACGUGCACAAAACCUGCGGGCAUAUAAAGCAGACCUUCAAAAGGCAAAGAAAGAGCAGGAAGAGGAACAGAUUAAACGGCUGGAAAGGCUUAAGCAAGAGAGGCAGAAGAGGAUUGCUGCAAGAAGUAGCACAUCUAAUUCAAUAUCAACACCACAGCAGGUCAAAGUGAAACCUUCACCAAAGACUUCUCCCAGUACCUACAAGAGUUCAAAGUUUAGUGAUGCUGAACCAGGAUCCUUUUCACCUCUAAGAAAGCUUCCUGCUAGAACUACUGCAGAGAGUGACCAUCAGAAAACAGGAAAAGCUAGCAAACUAAGCGAUAGUAGUACAAAUGCAGUGAGUAAAUCAACCUCAUCAUUGGCAGCGAUGAAGAAAGAGAAAAAUGGGAGAAAUGAAUUGUCCAGUGAGAGAUUGAAGAAACUUGCUGAACCUAAAAGUAAUGCUUUGACCGACCGUCCUUCAAAUUCAAAGUUUGCUAGCAUGGACCAUUCACGAAGGAAAAGCAUGCCAGAAGAUACCCAAACAAAGAAAAUAUCUGCUAUAAUGCAGCUCGACCAGAGGAAAUCAGCAACUCUACCAGAACUCAAAGUCAAAUCUCCACGAGCUCCCUCUAUAUCUGUGAAAAAUAAGACAAUUGCUAGAGAAAUAAGGGAUGGGGAUCCUGGAGGUAAAUCACCUCCCACUUUAGAAGUUACAGAUGGAAAGAAAGCUGAUGUAGAAGUCUCCAGGAUAAGCAACAGUGAUGAUAAUGUGGUGGUUGAGAAGACUGUUGUGAUUCUUGAAAAUGAGGUGGUUUCAACACCUCCUCUCAUUCUACCUCCUGGAAGAACAUCAGAGAAUGAAACUUCUAGCAAUGACAGAACACAGAAGCCCAGUAUGGAAUUGGAGUACACUGCCAUCAGGGCUCCACCUUCUCCAGCUGUUCUUCCUGAAGCUGAGAACCCCACCAUCCAUAGACACAAUGACCAGGGUAAUUACGAGGUGAUGACGGAGCAUCUGAAGGAUGAGACUGAGGAAUUGACCUUGUCUGCUGUGGAGAAACCCUACCAGGCCCCUUUUGCUAGGGUGACAUCGUUGGAGAAUGAUUCAGCCACCAUUCAUGCUUACCCCCAUGCACUACCAGUUGAAUCUGAAACACCUGUGCAUGCCGAGAGCAUUAGGGCUCGAGUACUAGACCCAGUAUCGACAGUUUCAGUGGAGGAGACCCCUGAAGCAAAUGAAAAACCUCGUAAUAAGGAAUCAAAAGGCUUCAGGAAACUUUUGAAGUUUGGUAGGAAGAGCCACACAUCAGGUACAAUGGAUUCUGAUGCAUCAUCUGUUGACGGAGCCUUAGCCGGAGACGCCUCAUCUAGGACAUCAUCCGCUGCUUCCUGUGCAAGGUUGAAUGCCUCCACGUGGGUGGCAUCUGCCACUCUUGGUGGCGUGUGGCGCACACAAACACUGCCCCGUCCCCACCCCUGCUCCCGUGGCUCGUCCUCCUGAAAACCGAUGAGCACGGGCUUACCUUAUCAUUUGUCCCCAGCGACUGCCGUACCCAUUCUUCCUCCCGCAGACUGCGCUCCCCAUGCUACUUUGGUUCGUAAGAUGGCGCUUGGCUCUUCCUCGACUUGAAAAGCCGAGACAAAGCUUAAGUGCAUGGGUGAUCGGGUGGUCCCACAGUCAGAGCAAUUUGAGGGGGUGUGGCCAGAAACGGAGGACAUCCUAUAUGAGGAUGGAUUAUUUAAGAGAACAUGAGGGGAAUUAAUCAUGCUGGAAAAGAGCAGCUUCUUCGCUUGUGUGUAUGAGUAUCCUAUCGUGGUUAAUUGACGGAUACUUUAAUUUCCUAGAUAUAUAAUAGGUGGUAUACUUACAUCAGUAAUCAUACACAUGCAUGGUUGCCUAUUUUAUAGGCUUUACAACUCCAUUGAAGACUAUCAGUCUAUCGGUGAAGAGCAACUCCAUUGAUGGGUCAAUGCUGAAAACCCUCAUUUCGCGAGAUGACUCUGGUUCUUCAUCUAAAGCUUCUCGGUCGUUCUCCCUACUGUCACCGUUCCGCAGGCAGAAGGUGAUUGUACUGUGACCGUGAGUUGGCUGAUCCUGAUCUGUCAUGUUAAUGCAGCUUGUGCAUUAACUAAUUUGUUUCUUAGUAGUACAUACACAUACAGACAUGUUAGUAGUACAUACAUACUAUUGCCUACAUCUGUGUACGUUGCUUGUAAGCUGUGUAUUUUGAGUGCGCGUUUAUGUGACUUUCUGUAUAUGUAGUACUUGGUAUGCAUAUGUAUAUUAUGUUACACACAAGCACAAAACACAUUCGUUUGAUCGAUCGAUUCCAUUUGCAUAUA